rnacentral:rRNA from 1 species
CCCUUAGACGUUCUGGGCCGCACGCGCGCUACACUGACACAGGCAACGAGCUUUCCUUUACCGAAAGGUAUGGGUAAUCUUUUGAAACUGUGUCGUGCUGGGGAUAGUUCCUUGCAAUUUUUGAUCUUAAACGAGGAAUUCCUAGUAAGCGCGAGUCAUCAACUCGCGUUGAUUACGUCCCUGCCCUUUGUACACACCGCCCGUCGCUACUACCGAUUGAAUGGCUUAGUGAGGCCUCAGGAUCCGCGCUUAAUGUGUGGAGAAUUUGGACAAACUACGUCAUUUAGAGGAAGUAAAAGUCGUAACA